CAUUUACAAAUUAAAAAAUAAUUAUUUAUAUAAUGAAAAUAUAUAGUUUUCAUUAAACUAUGUAAAU
rnacentral:tRNA from 1 species